ensembl:lncRNA
AUGUCCGGCUCAAACAGCAGCCUCCGUUCAGCAUCCCUUCCUGGGGAAGCAGCCCCUGACACCCGACACUUCACUUCUAAAAGAGCAUCAGCGCUGGCUGUCCAGAAUCGAGUGCCUACAUGCCCUUCACUCCCUCCAGCCCAUGGGGCUUCGGGCUGUGUGGAUCAGAUUGCCAGUGCUUUCCAAUCUACCAUCAAAGGCAGGAAAGACUGGUCAAUCUUUUGAAGACCAGGCAAAUCUACCACCUGAGGGUCAACAGAAGUUUUAUCUGAAAAGGACCGAAGCCCAGAUCCACAAAGGAUCUGCCAUGGAAAUUCAAAGGGAGUUGAGUACCUAAACGCUUUUAGCCUUGAAAUGAUUACUUGUGGUUGCACUUCUCUUUUACUAGUUGUACUCUGUGUGCAUUUCCACUUCCAACUAGUAUCAUGACGCUAGUAUACGAAGACCAAGAAGGAAGGAUGUGGGACGGUGGCACUUCUAUCUGCACUUUGCCACUGGACUGUGAAAGAGAUGUUGGGUGAAAAGGAAGUGGUAGGAAGAGCACUGCAUAACACUCAUGGGACGGAGUCUGAGAGAGACGGAGCGAUCUGAAAUGAAGCGGCGAUCUGUUAAAUUUUGAUGGACAAGGGCUACUAUGUCACGUAAUUAGGUCAUUAGAUAGCUCAUUGAGUAUUCAAGUAGGUUUCCUGGCUACCAGGGGUUGAUUACUAAGGCAAUAGGCAUUUUAAAAAUGCUAAAAAAAAUACCUUCAGUUGGUACAUUAUUCUUUAUCCCAAACUAAAUCAGCAUUUCUCAACCCAAAAGUGGGUCACAAAAAUGUACGAAAGGGUCACAAAUCAAUUUAAAAAAUGAAUCAAUGAACCUUAAAAAUGGAUUCUCCUUUCAAGGAGAAAAAUGUGGAAAAGUGUGGCUUCUCCCUCGCAGGCUGCCAGAGCUCCCCCUAUGCCCCACACACCCACCCCUGCCCCACACUCUGGGGGGCUGAGGCCUGGGGGUGGAGGGCAGUGGGUUGAAAAUGAGGGGCGCUGGGUCAGGUUUGACUGUUGAUGGGUCUGGGUACAAAAAAAGUUGAGGACCACUGAUCUGAAUCACAUCUCUGGCAUCUCGAAGCUGAUUAUUUCUGCUGUGAGAUGAUGCUAUACAAGAUGUUACUGAAUACAUGUGCUCACUGUCACACCUGGAGUGGUUUAACUUCCCAAACAGACUAUGGGGGCUGAACUCCCUGCUUGUUCCUGGAGGUAGGUGUCCCCGUGCCAUAGCAGAUUGGGAUGGGAACAGCUUUCUCACCAGCGCUCUUCGCUGUAUGUAGUCUAUGACUUUGUGGAGAAAGUGAGUUUCCAGGACUGUCUCAGGGCUACCGUCCCACACACACUGUGCGCGCGCGUUAUUGUACGUCCAUCCAUCACAUGAGGUCUGUGGAGGUGAGAUCAAGUGUCGAUCGCUAUAACAAACAAGCAUAUUGUGCAAUUUUGACCUGUCUUGCAUUUGGCAAUAUCCUGUCUCCCCCACCUCUUGCAUGCCAAAUUCCUUUCAUUUUAAUAAAAAAUAAAAAUAAACCUGGC